AGCCCAGGGAGGGGAAAGUCGGGUUUGAUGGGGAUACAGAGCUCACCAUGGAGCAGCUCAAGGAGAGAUCUUCAGUUAUAGAAUUGAGUGUGUGUGUGUGUUUAUACACAGGCACACAUUCCCCCUCCCCUUUCUUUCUAAUAUACAGUAGAUAUCGCAGGAAUCCUGAAUCAGAAGCGAGAUAAUGAGUGAGAAAUGAUGUCCAGAGACAUAAAACAAAAGCAACAUGGAAGUUCUAUGUUGGGCCUUGCCUCGUCUCAUGUGUGAUUCUAAAGAAGUCACUUUCCUUCUCUGAACAGUGGAAAACUUGGACCAGAGCUGAGAGCCCUCCCAAUUUUGAUUUUCCAGGAGAACAAUGGUGAAGAAGAUCCCGGGGAAAUCCAGGCAGAGGGACUCUUCCUAACCCAGAAGCGGGCAGAACUCCCUCCGCCGAGUUCACAUUCCCAGAUGCGCCUGAGGCUCCUACAGAAGAGACCAGACACGGGGGAGACUCUGCUUUGAUCUUCCAACCACACGAGAGGCGCCAUUGAGCUACUCCCGUACUCAGCCAGAAUGCAGCAAAAGCUAUGGAUGGUAACUUCUGAGACCUGGACUGCCAGGUCUGCCUGGGCUGCCAACUUCUGGGCUGCCGUGUAGAAAGCCAGAUUACCCUGAGACCGCCAUGCCGUAAGGAAGCCCAAGCUAACCACGUGGGAAGGCAAUGUGAAGAAGCACCAAGUCACAGACCUGUGAGCACAGCCUUCCUGGACCUGCCAGCCCAGCCACCUGCUGAAUUCUUCCAAGUCCCCCAGCUGACACCACAUGGAGAAGAAAACUGCUCAGAGGAGUGCAGAAUCAUGAAAAAUAAUAAAUCAUUGUUUCCAGCCAUGAGUUUUGAGAUGAUUUGCUAUGCAGCAGUAAAUGCCGAAAACACAAGAUAAUGGCUAUGGUUAAAAAUAACUCUCUCUGCCAGGUUGCAUUUGGGCUGUGCUUUAAAUCUCUUAAUUUGGGCAGGACUCUCUGAAGCAUCUUAAACAGCCUGCCAGCUCACACCAGGAAAGGAGGAGAGACGUUGCCUGUUGGCAUUUCAGCUAUGGCACGAACCCUCAUUCACUGGCAUUUUUUAAACUCUUUUUUGGUAGGAUUCAACUUGCUUGCUGCAUUUGGCCAAAGAAAGGAGGUUCCUCAUAUCAUCCCAGGUAUAACAUCUUCUUUUGGUUCAAAGGACACAAGGAUCAGCAGUAGUGAAGCUUCCUAGGAACUGGCGUUCCGCUCUCAUGUUACUCCAUCCCAGUUUUAGCUAGUAGAUACAAUUUCUCUUCAAGGGAUGUCUUGGCAACCACAUCCAAAAUUUCAUUCUCUUCCU